UACGGAGGGUGCAAGCGUUGUUCGGAAUUAUUGGGCGUAAAGCGCGUGUAGGCGGUCGUUUAAGUUCACUGUGAAAGCUCAGGGCUCAACCCUGAAACUGCAGCGAAAACUGGAUGACUUGAGUGUUGGAGAGGAAAGCGGAAUUCCUGGUGGAGCGGUGAAAUGCGUAGAUAUCAGGAAGAACACCAGUGGCGAAGGCGGCUUUCUGGACAACAACUGACGCUGAGACGCGAAAGCGUGGGUAG
rnacentral:rRNA from 1 species